rnacentral:rRNA from 1 species
CUUGCUCUGUGGGAUCAGUGGCGAACGGGUGAGUAACACGUGAGCAACCUACCCCUGACUCUGGGAUAAGCGCUGGAAACGGCGUCUAAUACUGGAUACGAGUGGCGACCGCAUGGUCAGCUACUGGAAAGAUUUAUUGGUUGGGGAUGGGCUCGCGGCCUAUCAGCUUGUUGGUGAGGUAAUGGCUCACCAAGGCGUCGACGGGUAGCCGGCCUGAGAGGGUGACCGGCCACACUGGGACUGAGACACGGCCCAGACUCCUACGGGAGGCAGCAGUGGGGAAUAUUGCACAAUGGGCGCAAGCCUGAUGCAGCAACGCCGCGUGAGGGAUGACGGCCUUCGGGUUGUAAACCUCUUUUAGCAGGGAAGAAGCGAAAGUGACGGUACCUGCAGAAAAAGCGCCGGCUAACUACGUGCCAGCAGCCGCGGUAAUACGUAGGGCGCAAGCGUUAUCCGGAAUUAUUGGGCGUAAAGAGCUCGUAGGCGGUUUGUCGCGUCUGCUGUGAAAUCCGGAGGCUCAACCUCCGGCCUGCAGUGGGUACGGGCAGACUAGAGUGCGGU